rnacentral:rRNA from 1 species
UACGUAGGGUGCGAGCGUUGCCCGGAUUUAUUGGGCGUAAAGGGCGCGUAGGCGGCUCUGCACGUCCGUUGUGAAAUCGCCCGGCUCAACUGGGCGGGGUCAGCGGAUACGGCAGAGCUCGAGCAAGCUAGGGGGCAAUGGAAUUCCCGGUGUAGUGGUGGAAUGCGUAGAUAUCGGGAGGAACACCUGUGGCGAAAGCGGCUCACUGGACCACAACUGACGCUGAGGCGCGAAAGCUAGGGGAGCAAACAGG